AGGGGCACAGGAACUGCCAGAGUGGAGCAGCCUUGAGGCCCGUCUUUCACAGGGGCCAGCACCAGAUGCUACAGAGGAAGGUGUAAGAACCCGGAGCCAAUAUGUAAAGUUCCUUGCCAUCAGACCUGCGAGGAAGAACUGAAACCAAGACAGUGCCCCACUGAACCUUCCUCGGAGCUUCGCCCAGCAGAACUCCCUGAGGAAGGAGAGGGGCAGCCUAUUCAGGUCUCCCCUUGGUUUGUCAGUACUCCAUGCGGGCAGUGAAAUGGCCAGGGAGCUGCUGGGAGCUCAGCACUCUGGGAGCCAAGCCCCUGACUGAGGUGCCCAAGCAGGCCAUUAGGCUUCUAUGUUUUAAGAAGGGGGAGCACAAGGAAAUGGUGAGACAACAUUGGCUAUGAUUUUUUCCUGUCAUGGUGAGAAAAUAUCCAAUAGAUUGGAGGCCAAAAGCCACUACUUCAACUAGUACCCGUCGGCCCUAAUCCCCCAUUUGGAUGGGAUCAAUGCAUAACUACUUGAACUAAAAUCUUCAUGGACAGUCCUCCAAAUGGCUCUUUCUCCCCUAAGAGAUGGAACAGCUCUAAGCAAAUACACACUCGGCAGCACAGCAGGUAGGCAGGCAGAGAUUUGCAAUCAUCCCACUGUAAGGUCGGAGGCCUUCUUCUGCAGUGAGAGACAGCAGCCAUGAGCUAAGCUGCAGAGAGUCCCAGCCUCACCUUCCAGUUAUUGCACCAAAACUGUACUAUGGGGCUGUUCAGAAGGCUCCUGUCCUAACAGUGCCCAUCACCACCAGGUAAAGAAACGGAGCUUAAGUUGGUUAAAGAAAACUUUGUUUGAUGGCAUCUGCCUGGCAAGGAACCACUUCACAGCUGUGAUUGUGAAAUCUCUACUUCUAUUGUGUUGCCUUUAUGGUCCCUACUUCUCUAUUGUUUAUCUGUAGGGGCUCUGUCUGGUUCUGCCUGUUGCAUAGCUGAUUUACACCUUAAAUGUAAGGUGGUGUCAGCUACGGUGGUGGGGUCUGACUGGGUAAGGAACUGUUUCAUAAGGGGUGAAAAAUACUGUUUGGCAGCACUUCAGUUUACAACGACUGGUGAAGGUAGAGCUAAGCAGGACUCAGGUUUCACUAUGUAAAUUGGGGUCCAAAAGGAAGUUCUUUGGGAACCAACUCCAGGACACAGACCCAAGUUCAGAGCUGCCAACCAUACGGUGCAGAAGCUGGAGCCCUUGGACGACCUGAUCCUGACUGGCCGGCAGGAAAAGUUCAUCUGCCUUAUGAGGAGUGGUGAGCACUGUAUGCUUAGCAUGCAAAUUCUGUGUUGGUAACUGAUAAUUAAUAGAGGUUAAGGAUAUUACUGUGCAAGGCUCUUUCACUGGUAAAAGGCCCCGCAAACCCGCAGAAGAUUACACCCUGAGCCCUAGAAACUGGGUAAGGGUAGAGGUGAGCACGUCACACCAGGGUGCUGCUCUGACUUCCCCUCAUCCAAUUCCAGACCUGUUUACCUCUGUGACCACGCUUCCACGUGCACACUGUUAUAGGACACCACAGCACAGGGCUGUGGAAUUCCCCAACCCCAGGGACCAGGAGAAGCCAGCAUCUGACCAUUUUAAGGUCUAACACAAGACUCUUCUCUAAGCAGGCAACUACUCAGUUAACAGAGAGGCCAAGCAAAGCUUCUCCAAGACUGAUCCCACUGAGACAGAACCCUGACAAUGGGGACAAGAGUUUAGCUCCUUUCCUAAGUGAUCCUUCAUUUUGCAUGUGGUGACCAGAUGCUUCAGUAACAGCAACAUUAGAAAUGCAGAGACCUGAGCUUUACUGAUGCCCCUCUCCCACCACCAUAACCCUGUUAUAUCGGUAAGUUCCUCUGGGACCUGGCAUCUUUGCCUACAGCCCCAUAAGCACAACCACUGCACCAAAUACACUGUAACAUCUGCAGUAGCCCAGCUGGUUUAAGUUAGGAACUGCUCUUUGCUCUUUCAGCCAUCUCUCAGAAAAACCUCUGAUUCAAGAGUGGAUUUUAACUGCAUACAUUCAUAUUCUAAGGCCCUUGUUCACCUGAACAGCCACAGUGAUGGCAAGUUUAAGGGGCCACAAUUACCAGUUCUGCAGAACCAUCUUCUAGCACUUCCCAUCACAGGGCUAACCUGCCCCACACUUUGUGCAUUUCUCACCCAACGACAAGUGCUUCUCCAAAGGCAGGAGCACAAAGAGACGCUUUCUGCUGCUUGUCCAGCUUUCUCUUCUCCGCGCUCACCAAGUCAUUCCUCAGGGUUCCUGAUACACUUCCACCACCUUCUGCUUUGCCAACC